rnacentral:rRNA from 1 species
UACGUAGGGUGCGAGCGUUAAUCGGAAUUACUGGGCGUAAAGGGCGCGUAGGCGGCCGCCUAAGUCAGACGUGAAAUCCCUCGGCUCAACCGGGGAACUGCGUCUGAUACUGGGUGGCUUGAAUUCGGGAGAGGGAUGCGGAAUUCCAGGUGUAGCGGUGAAAUUCGUAGAUAUCGGGAGGAACACCGGUGGCGAAGGCGGCGACCUGGGUCGAUACUGACGCUGAGGUGCGAAAGCGUGGGGAGCAAACAGG